rnacentral:rRNA from 1 species
GUCCAGACUCCUACGGGAGGCAGCAGUGGGGAAUAUUGCACAAUGGGGGAAACCCUGAUGCAGCGACGCCGCGUGAGUGAAGAAGUAUUUCGGUAUGUAAAGCUCUAUCAGCAGGGAAGAAAAUGACGGUUCCUGACUAAGAAGCCCCGGCUAACUACGUGCCAGCAGCCGCGGUAAUACGUAGGGGGCAAGCGUUAUCCGGAUUUACUGGGUGUAAAGGGAGCGUAGACGGCAUGGCAAGUCAGAUGUGAAAGCCCGGGGCUCAACCCCGGGACUGCAUUUGGAACUGUGUGGCUGGAGUGUCGGAGAGGCAGGCGGAAUUCCUAGUGUAGCGGUGAAAUGCGUAGAUAUUAGGAGGAACACCAGUGGCGAAGGCGGCCUGCUGGACGAUGACUGACGUUGAGGCUCGAAAGCGUGGGGAGCAAACAGGAUUAGAUACCCCUGUAC